ACUUCCGGCUCUUGACUCCGCCCAGCCGCGCCACCCAGGUAGGUGCGCCUGCGCUUUGCGAGGUUCCUGGCUAGGGAGGCGGCCUUGGCUGGCUUGACCGUCAUCCUUGAGGCCUGCGGGGCAACGGUGGCUGUCCUUGGCCCGGCUUUGGAAUGUGGCUUUGCAGGGCUGGUGUUGGCGCCAUUCUCGCAGGCCCACGUGCUCCUGCUCUUCCAGGGUGUCCUCGGCUGUUUCUCCUGCCGCGGCGCAGCAGCGCUCCCAGGCUGCCCCCGCGAUAACACGCCCCUGGCAGCCAGGCUCCCAGCUCUGUUACGUGCCCGGGCGGGGAAGAGCUUCCUGGUGUCUCCCGGCUCCUGCCCUUCUCCCGCCCCAGGGGCGGGCUGCCGCCGCCCUCUGCAGCUGAGUCAGUGCAGUUCCUCACCUACCUUCUCUGCUCACCGCUGUGUGCUAGCAAUCGGAGGACCCUUGGCACACGGAGCGACAGGGGCCUCCCCCACAGACACCUCAUUUUGGGAAAGAAGCUGUACAGGAGGCAUGGCUGGGGAGGCCUCAGAAAACUUACAAUCAUGGCAGAAGGUGAAGGGGAAGCCAGCACAUCUUCAUAUGAUGGCAGGAACUUUAUAUGUUAUAGAAGUUAGCCCCAAGAAUGAAAUCGUGUCCUUUGCCAAAACAUGGAUGGAGCUAGAGGCCUUUAUCCUAAGGUGCUCUAUGCUUAGCCCAUCAUAGAUUGUGGCCCUUCAUUCCUGCAUUUGAUGAAUCCAGGGAACCCUCUCUCCAACACCCUUGGCCUCUCUGCAACUUUCUAACAUCAGGCAGAGUCAGAGGCACCAUCCCCAGAAGCUACAAAUCUUCAGCAUUCUCCACUCUGUGAAGUCAGAGGAAUGGCGGGACCAUAGCUCUGAGCUCAUUGGCAAAUACAACUAAUUUCAAUUUCUGGAAUGGAAGCAGUCAGAUAUUCUUCUGACUGCACGCGUAUGUGGGAGUGCCAUGUUGAAGAGUGGAAAAUAUGGAAGAUCAGUCCCUACAAACUUAAUAGGAGAAUGACAUUCAGAUUUCCCGAGUAUUUUGCAUGUCCAACUGAAAACUGAAGUAGGUUUAUGAGAGAAUGCACGCCUACCUGGAUGGGUCUGGGGAGUGUGUCACUGUCACCGCAGAUAAUUGACAAGGGCUGAUCAAAUAGCGAUGCUUUCAAGUCUGUCUCCAAAGCCCCAGAAAAAUCUGAUGCAGGGGAGAGCCUUCUCAUGAGAAAGGGCCAGGACAGCACCUUCUUUCUCUUCUUAACUUCUACAGCCAAGAAAACAAGGCAACGAGAAAAAUUAGACUACAGUGUUAAGAAGCAAAGAUCCAGGUGACUGGUCACCUUGGGUUUUCCAGGUUGCUGCUUUAGGACAGAGGCAAAUACGAAUCGCUGCGGGAAGCCUUGAACCUAGAUCUGGCAACUGGGAAUUAUCAGCAAAACGUUAUCAAGAUAUUCUGUCCUUCUGAAAUCCACAAGAUGUGUGUGCAAUGGAUAUUGCAAUCUCAAACAUUUCCUUCUUUCUUUUCUUUUCCUUCCUUCCUUCCUUCUCCUUUCUUACUAAUUAUAAAGGCUAUAUUUUCUAAAUGCA
rnacentral:lncRNA from 1 species